rnacentral:tRNA from 1 species
ACUUAAAUAUCUUAAUAUUAAAGAAUAGUAUUGAAGAUACUGGGAUGAUUUAAUAAUCUUUAGGUA